rnacentral:rRNA from 1 species
UUAAUCUCGUUAGAUCACCGAAGUUAAGCAUCAUUGGGCGCGGUCAGUACUUGGGUGGGUGACCACCUGGGAACACUGCGUGCCGUU